CCUACGGGAGGCAGCAGUGGGGAAUAUUGGACAAUGGGCGCAAGCCUGAUCCAGCAAUGCCGCGUGAGUGAUGAAGGCCUUAGGGUCGUAAAGCUCUUUUACCAGGGAUGAUAAUGACAGUACCUGGAGAAUAAGCUCCGGCUAACUCCGUGCCAGCAGCCGCGGUAAUACGGAGGGAGCUAGCGUUGUUCGGAAUUACUGGGCGUAAAGCGUACGUAGGCGGUUAUUCAAGUCAGAGGUGAAAGCCCGGGGCUCAACCCCGGAACGGCCUUUGAAACUAGGUAGCUAGAAUCUUGGAGAGGUCAGUGGAAUUCCGAGUGUAGAGGUGAAAUUCGUAGAUAUUCGGAAGAACACCAGUGGCGAAGGCGACUGACUGGACAAGUAUUGACGCUGAGGUACGAAAGCGUGGGGAGCAAACAGGAUUAGAUACCCUGGUAGUCCACGCCGUAAACGAUGAUAACUAGCUGUUCGGGCACUUGGUGCUUGAGUGGCGCAGCUACGACAUUAAGUUAUCCGUCCGUCGGGUAGGUACGGUCGCGAAGAAGUAAAACCGUAAAACGGAAAGUUAGACGGUAACGUGUAGACGUUGUCCGAACGGACGACGACGAGGGAGGAGG
rnacentral:rRNA from 1 species